rnacentral:rRNA from 1 species
AACGAACGCUGGCGGCAUGCCUAACACAUGCAAGUCGAACGAGACCUUCGGGUCUAGUGGCGCACGGGUGCGUAACGCGUUGGAACCUGCCCUUAGGUUCGGAAUAACUCCCCGCAAGGGGUGCUAAUACCGGAUAAUGUCUUCGGACCAAAGAUUUAUCGCCUUUGGAUGGGCCCGCGUUGGAUUAGCUAGUUGGUAGGGUAAAAGCCUACCAAGGCGACGAUCCAUAGCUGGUCUGAGAGGAUGAUCAGCCACACUGGGACUGAGACACGGCCCAGACUCCUACGGGAGGCAGCAGUGGGGAAUAUUGGACAAUGGGCGAAAGCCUGAUCCAGCAAUGCCGCGUGAGUGAUGAAGGCCUUAGGGUUGUAAAGCUCUUUUACCCGGGAUGAUAAUGACAGUACCGGGAGAAUAAGCUCCGGCUAACUCCGUG